rnacentral:rRNA from 1 species
UACGUAGGGGGCAAGCGUUGUCCGGAAUCAUUGGGCGUAAAGAGCGUGUAGGCGGUUCGGUAAGUCGGCUGUGAAAGUCCAGGGCUCAACCCUGGGAUGCCGGUCGAUACUGCCGGACUAGAGUUCGGAAGAGGCGAGUGGAAUUCCUGGUGUAGCGGUGAAAUGCGUAGAUAUCAGGAGGAAUACCGGUGGUGUAGACGGCUCUCUGGACCGCAACUGACGCUGAAACACGAAAGCGUGGGUAGCAAACAGG